UACGGAGGGUGCGAGCGUUGUCCGGAAUCACUGGGCGUAAAGGGCGCGUAGGCGGCGCGGGAAGUCCGUGGUGAAAGCCCGAGGCUCAACUUCGGGUCGGCCAUGGAUACUCCUGGGCUCGAGCACUGUAGAGGCAGGUGGAAUUCCGGGUGUAGCGGUGGAAUGCGUAGAGAUCCGGAAGAACACCGGUGGCGAAGGCGGGUCUCUGGGCCGAUAUUGACGCUGAGGAGCGAAAGCGUGGGGAGCGAACAGG
rnacentral:rRNA from 1 species